GCUAGUGUGGCUCAGUGGUAGAGCAGCUGAUUCGUAAUCAGCAGGUCGUGGGUUCAAUCCCCACCACUAGCUCCA
rnacentral:tRNA from 1 species